rnacentral:lncRNA from 1 species
AUUGUCACGCCCCGAUCCUCGGGCACGCACACAUCCUUCUCAUUUGGUCGAUUUUAUAAUGCGAUAUCCCAGGACUAGUAUCGCCGACCCUUUCAUUUAUUAAGCACAUGCGGAAGCAGUUAAAAUCCCCAGACAAUAAAACGAUGGGAUAGAAAAGCAGGGCCAUAUUUUUCAUAUUGAAAUUUAUAACCAAACUUUUAUACAAACCACAAUUCACUUCAUAACUAUUCACAUCAAAACGGAGAUCUCAAAAGAAGACAGAAACUUAGACGAACUGGGCCGUACUCAAGACCCCUCUCAGGAUUGUCUUCUUCUUCCAAAAAUCAUUUUUCUUCAGAUCUCACCUCCGAGUUCUCCUUCUCGGAUUCCUCCUCCUCAGCUCUUCAGCGGGGUCCUGAAAUGGUUUUCCCCAAACUGGGAUGAGACUACGUCUCAGCGAGUUCUACCCCACUAAGCCCGAUUAGUAAACUAUUAUACUAAAGGCUGCCUAAACACGCACAGGGCAGAGGACUUACCUUGGCCUCAGAUCCCACCUGCAAGUCAGUACAAUUCAUAAUAGGCACCCAAGCAAUCAUAUCACUGAUCGAAGCAUCGAUCAAAUCGACCUAGUCGAUUAUAUUCCAACAAGACCACUCACGGUCAUUUCCAUUCAGUCAAUCAAUUCACAACAUCAAAUCAAAGCAUCGACCUAGUCGAUUACAUGCCAAACAAAUCAAUCCCCACUGUGGGAUAUUUAAAAGCUAGGCCACGUGCAUUCUCCAGGACGACCUUCCAAGUCUCCGAGUUCACGUGCCUCGAACCUUGGGCCCACGUGCAUUCUCUCAGGCGACCUUUUCGCCAAAGUGAUGCAUCAAGUCACCGAGACCACGUGCCCUUUUAGAUGCCCGGGCCCACGUGCAUUCUCUUAGUGCAUCUCACCAAAGCGAUGCAUCAAUUCGCCGAGACCACGUGCCCUUUAGAUGCCCGGGCCCACGUGCAUUCUCUUAGGUGCAUCUCACCAAAGCGAUGCAUCAAUUCGCCGAGACCACGUGCCCUUUUAGAUGCCAUUCCGGAAUGCUGGACUCACGUGCAUUCUCUAAGGUGCAUCUCACCAAAGCGAUGCAUCAAUUCGCCGAGACCACGUGUCCUUUUAGAUGCCAAAUCCUGUCACCGAGCCACGUGCAUUCUCCAGGACGACAUACCGAGUCUCCGAGCCACGUGCAUUCUCUCAGGCGACCUUUUCGCCAAGGUGACAUAUUCAACCACUGAACUCACGUGCAUUUUCCAGGUGACAUUCCAAUUCACCGAGCCACGUGUCCUCUUUGCAGUGGUUACCAGUUCACUUUCAAUAUCGACAACCAAUGCCCAACGAUUUCUCAAUCAAAUAAAUAAAUCAACUCAACAAAACAUUAUAAAUGCUGAAUAAACAUACUUGGCCAUUCACCAAUCAAUACUCAAUCAAAUAAUUAAAUUAACUCAACAAAGCAUUAUAAAUGCUGAAUGAACAUACUUGGCCAUUCACCAAUCGAUAAUUCAAUCUCAAUCGAUUCCAAUCAAUUUAGGGUAAAUCCCUAAAAUAUCACAAUUUAUUCAAUUCCAUACAACGUAGAGCUCAAAUAAAUAAACGGACUGCACCACGACGAUCAGCACGAGAUUUCGGUCGUCGGCCAUCAAAAUCUUAAUUUCCGAAAAAUAAUUAAUUAAUUUAUUAAUUUCGAAAAUUAAUAAUUAAUUACAAAAAAUCAAUUUAGCUCAAAAUAAAGCCCGAUUACAUAAACGGACUUCACCACGGUCAUCAGCAUAAUUUUCCGGUUCCAGGCCAUCUCAGUUGAAAUUUCGGAAAAUAAAUAAUUAUUUAAUGAAAUUCCGAAAAUUAAUAAUUAAAUACUAAAAAUCCACUUAGGCCCGAAAAAGCCUAAUUGGAGCCCACUAAGGGUCGGGAAAAAUCCCGAGGCACUUCCAAUAAUUAGUAGACCACGUCUACUUGCUAAUUGCACAAUCAAAUUAUCUAAAUCACAUCACAAUUGACUAAUAAUUGCUAAUUUAUUCUAAUCUAACAACCUAAACAUAAUUAAUUAAAUCUAAACCAACCUUAAGCAUAAUUAGCCAACUAAUCCAAGAUUAGUGAGAUUACUCACCAAAUCGCGCACAAAUCGGAUCAAUCCGACGGCGGCGACGCGAGGAACGAUUCUUCCCAAAGCACCGCUCGGGUUCGGGGCCGGGAAACGGCCCAAAACGGGCCCGAACCAGCUGGAAACCCAUUUCGGGGGUUUCUGCCCUUGGCUGGUCGGAGCAGAUCCGGCGGCCAAAACGGCGAGGGAAGGCCAGCGGAAGGCGAGGGGGUCGCGGGGGAGGUCCGGCGAGGCUAGGCGGUGGCCGGACGGUGGCUGGUCGGUGCGGAACAGGGGCGAACAGCAGCUGGGUUGGCUGGAUCGCGCGGAGGGAGGAGCGGCAGCGAGCGACGGACGGCGGGACGGCGACGGGCGCACGGGCGUGGGCGGCGGUGCGGCGACGGGAUGAGCGGCGAGCGGUUCUCGGCGAGCUGCGAUCUCCGAGCUCCUGGUUCGCACGCAAAGAAAAGAAGGAGAAGAAAAGCUGGUUCUGUCGUGAGGGGGAAGAAAGAAGAGAGAGGAAAGAGAAGAGAGAAGAUAAGCUUGGACUAGUCAAAGGGAAGAGAGAGAAAAGGUGGGCGGUGGGGGAGUCGCACGAAGGGGAAGGGAAAAG